CAAGAGAUGGUUUUUCGACCAAAAGACAGCCCCGUCGAGAGAUUAAUUCACCGUGUCGAUUUUUAUUUAAGUUCUGAUCGAUCAAUCUUCAAACUGAUCUUAAAGAAUUUUCUUGACCAAAAUUAUAUCUGCUCGUGAGGGUUAUUACAUUCUUAGGGGAGACUCGGCUCUUCGUGAACAUGUGGAGGGCAAAGUGAGAAGAAAGGAGAGGUGUCGUCGUUUUUGGCUCUUUCGGUUUCUCCUGUCUCGAUUGAGAAAAUUGUCUAUGCGACUUAUUUAGGGGGGGGGAGACUCGGCUCUUCGUGGACAUGUGGAGGGCAAAGAGAGAAGAAAGGAGAGGUGUCGUCGUUUUUGGCUCUUUCGGUUUUUUCUGUCUCGAUUGAGAAAAUUGUCUAUGCGACUUAUUUAGGGGGGGGGGGACUCGGCUCUUCGUGGACAUGUGGAGGGCAAAGAGAGAAGAAAGGAGAGGUGUCAUCGUUUUUGGCUCUUUCGGUUUCAGCUGUCUCGGUUGAGAAAAUUGUCUAUGCGACUUAUUUAGGGGGGGAGGGGAGACUCGGCUCUUCGUGGACAGGUGGAGGGCAAAGAGAGAAGAAAGGAGAGGUGUCAUCGUUUUUGGCUCUUUCGGUUUCAGCUGUCUCGGUUGAGAAAAUUGUCUAUGCGACUUAUUUAGGGGGGGGGAGACUCGGCUCUUCGUGGACAUGUGGAGGGCAAAGAGAGAAGAAAGGAGAGGUGUCGUCGUUUUUGGCUCUUUCGGUUUUUUCUGUCUCGAUUGAGAAAAUUGUCUAUGCGACUUAUUUAGGGGGGGGGGGACUCGGCUCUUCGUGGACAUGUGGAGGGCAAAGAGAGAAGAAAGGAGAGGCGUCGUCAUUUUUGGCUCUUUCGGUUUCUUCUAUUUCGGUUGAGAAAAUUGUCUAUGCGACUUAUUUAGGGGGGGGAGACUCGGCUC
rnacentral:lncRNA from 1 species